rnacentral:rRNA from 1 species
AUUGAACGCUGGCGGCAUGCCUUACACAUGCAAGUCGAACGGCAGCACGGGAGCAAUCCUGGUGGCGAGUGGCGAACGGGUGAGUAAUAUAUCGGAACGUGCCCAGUCGUGGGGGAUAACGUAGCGAAAGCUACGCUAAUACCGCAUACGAUCUACGGAUGAAAGCGGGGGAUCGCAAGACCUCGCGCGAUUGGAGCGGCCGACAUCAGAUUAGGUAGUUGGUGAGGUAAAGGCUCACCAAGCCGACGAUCUGUAGCUGGUCUGAGAGGACGACCAGCCACACUGGGACUGAGACACGGCCCAGACUCCUACGGGAGGCAGCAGUGGGGAAUUUUUGGACAAUGGGCGCAAGCCUGAUCCAGCAAUGCCGCGUGCAGGAUGAAGGCCUCGGUUGGUUAACGUUA